ACGAACGCUGGCGGCGUGCUUAACACAUGCAAGUCGAACGGAAAGGCCCUGCUUUUGUGGGGUGCUCGAGUGGCGAACGGGUGAGUAACACGUGAGUAACCUGCCCUUGACUUUGGGAUAACUUCAGGAAACUGGGGCUAAUACCGGAUAGGAGCUCCUGCUGCCUGGUGGGGGUUGGAAAGUUUCGGCGGUUGGGGAUGGACUCGCGGCUUAUCAGCUUGUUGGUGGGGUAGUGGCUUACCAAGGCUUUGACGGGUAGCCGGCCUGAGAGGGUGACCGGCCACAUUGGGACUGAGAUACGGCCCAGACUCCUACGGGAGGCAGAAGUGGGGAAUAUUGCACAAUGGGCGGAAGCCUGAUGCAGCAACGACGCGUGCGGGAUGAAGGCCUUCGGGUUGUAAACCGCUUUCGCCUGUGACGAAGCGUGAGUGACGGUAAUGGGUAAAGAAGCACCGGCUAACUACGUG
rnacentral:rRNA from 1 species